GCCCCAGUGGCCUCAUGGAUAAGGCACUGGCCUUCUGAGCCAGGGGUUGCUGGUUCUAGUCCCACCUGGAAUA
rnacentral:tRNA from 1 species